UUACAUUGGGUCUUUCACAAGCUUUGGCUUGGCAGAGAUCUGGUCUCAUGGUGAGGCCGACCAUUCAAUUCAGGUAGGAUUUAUAUGCGUAACUUAUGAAGUGAAAAUCUUUAUUCUUUUAUUAUUUUGUUAUCAUCAUUGAUGUUUGUAGUAAUUAGCAGACCUCUCCUUGUGUCCUUGGCGCUAUGCUUCGUGAGUUACUCAUUAGCACGGAGGAGUUCAAAAGCACAUCUUUAUUGUUAAAUGUCAUUUGAAAUGUUUCUAUUCGAGGCAUACUUUUUCCCUGCUUUUGUUUUAUUAAUUACAUUGUAUUGCCUUGCCUGCUACCGUACGGAGAAAUGGCAUUUUUGCUCAAGUUAGUGACAUACACCCACACGUGACAGUAAUCAAAAUCUAUUAAUCUGACAAAUUUAGGAAAAUGGGGUAUUAUCAUUUGACCACCUAACUUUUCCUGACAUGUCACUUCUGUGUGUGCUGAAUCUCCUUUUUGAAAUUGAACUUUAAUUGCAUGCUUGGAUUGUUGACACUAUUAGAAUUAUUUCAUUAUUCUCUGUUUCAAGCUGGACCUAUUUGCUCUUUAAUCUGUAUAAUACGUGGUGAUGGUAUUUUUCAUGCUUACUACAUAUUGUUUUAAAUCCUCCUGGUCAGUUUAUGUCCCACGUUUGGUGGAACCAAUCCUGGGUUACGGGCAGAACUUAUUCAUUCAUUGAAGGAAGAACUUAGUCUUAUCUGCGGUUACACAUUCAUGACACAUCCUUCAGCGUUUGCAUCAAUAUCCGUACGUUAUUUGCUGCUCAUUAUAAUCAUUGUUACAUUUUUUUUUCCUAAUGCAAUCAUUAUUAAAUUUUAUUUUCAAAGAUUUAGCAUAUUGAAGGCAUGUGGCAUGUAAGUUUGUCAUUAUUACCCUCCUAGGUAUUUUCAUGUAGGUUUUUUUUUGGGUAGUUCAGUGAUCGACUACUUUUAAUUAAUGCUUCCCUUUAUCUCAGAUUGCUUGUUAAAAUGUAAAUCAACAUUCAUUUUAUUAUGCCACUAUGAAUCAUAGUUAUGCUGGAUAGACCAGAACUCUCUUUGGUUCACAAUACUCAUUUUAGAAUCAGCUCCACAGAUUCCUUUCAAUGCUUUUGACUUCUGCAUAUUGGCUAAAGAUUUUUGAAGCUAAUAACUGAGGACUUUUAUGAUGAACUUGGGAGAAAUGAUUGUUCUACAAUAUGGUUUAGCCGUAGGGUGACAAAACGUUUCUUCUCUUCCUUGUGUGCUCUGUGGACACACUAUGGUUGGGGGUUUUAUCUUCCUGUAUUUCAAAUUGCUUGUUGUUUGCUGAUUUUUUCCUUCUUAGAUUCUUAUUGCUCUCCGCUCAUACUCCUUUUUUCUAUUCCCCUAAUGCAGUUUGGCAGAUCUAAGUGGAAUGGGAAUGUCGGGAGCUCAGGGGUAGUAAUGAGGGUUGAUGCCCCUCUUUCAAGCUUUGGACGACCUUCUUUCUCUGUUCAGAUAAAUAGUGGUAUUGAGUUUUGAUUGUUUAUAUCUUCAUAUUUGGCAUUUGAAAUGUAUAUAGUCACAGGCUCAUUAACAAAAGCUACUGUAUGUGAAUAUUUAACUAUAAUAUUAAUAAUGUUCCCCAAAAAGAAAAAAUGUUUAUAUCAAUUAGCAUGGUCUGUAUUACUUGUUCCCAACUUGUAUUCUGAGUUUUCAGUUGGUUGUUUUCGGCGUUCCUCCUUUUUGCUAGAAAAUUUUGAGCGUGUCAUGUUUGGACCUUUUAUAGCUUCCUUUGUACCGUCUUUUGUCAUUAUUAUUUCACACCUGCAGAUUUAAGCAGAUCAAACAAUUUGUUGAGGUGUGAAUGGAGGUUAAAUUUCAGAAUAACAAAUUUUAGCUAUUUCUUUUCUGCGCUCGGUUUUUAGAUGAUGGAUUUUUUUAAGGUUUUGGGAAGAAUAAUUGAUCAUUGAUUAUUCUUAAUAUGAUUGCGAAAGAGUAGGUAGCCUGAUUGGGUAAUUUUUGGAUACCUCCCCUGAGGUUUGGUCUUGCUACACUUAGAUAGAAUGUAUGCAUAUAUUGACAUAUAGCACCCCCAGACGUGUAUAAGCGUUGGGGAGCCGUUUGGUAAACGGGGAUAAUUUUGUAAUUGCAAAAGUUUAUAAUUUUUAAAUCUUAAAAAAGUUAAUUGACAGUGAUUGAUUAAACAAAUCAAUGUGUAUUCAGAAUGCACAAUUAUACAAAGCUUGGAAUCGAGUGAAACAAAUGAUACCCCACCUUCACUUUAUCAAACCCAUCUUCACUUUACCAUUCAGCUUCAGUCCAAAACAAAUAAUGCCCACUCAUCGAAGACGUCACUCCUACCAACAACUCCAUCAUCGCCGCCGUCGAAUCCGCCGAUUUGAAGAACACCACCAGUUAGAACAUGAACAAGGCCAAUACUAAUAACAAGUGCGAAGGAGUGGUGGCUGAGAGCGGUGUCGACAGAGCUGUGAAUUGGCAGAAUGCGAGGUGCGAGGCGGAGAUAUUGUUCGCAUCUGUUGUACGAGCAGCUACUCUCAGCACACGUGGCUUGCUUGAGGGUCGACACGUCGGUGGAUCAGCUGCCGAGGAUUGAUGCUCAGCUUGCUUAGUCACAGCACGACGUCUCUAAGUACAUCGCUUUAGGUGCCGGUCAAGGCUGGGUUACUGAUGACCAAGAGCUCCACUAUGUAUUCUACUUUCAUAAAGUUAUUAUUGAUUUUAAAUUUAAUUUCUUUUCCAUUUUGUUUGCUUGCUUGCUUGCUUUCUUGUCUUAUUAGAAACUUGAAUUUUAAAUUCACAGAGGAAUUUAUUGCGCUUGCUAUUGACUAAUUCGAGGCAUUGUACAUAUUAAAAAAAAUGUUUUUUUCCCCCUCAAUUUGGGUGAUUUUUGGGUAUUACUGGUAUGGUUGAUUACUUGAGGAUGAGUUAAUUGGUUAUGAUUAUAAAGUUUUGAAUCUUUGAGUACAAAGUUAAAUUGUAAAUUUGAAGCAGAAUGAGCAAGGGUUUUGUUAGGAGACGGUAAAAUUUUGAAAUGGACAGCCGGAUUCUAAGAUGUGAGAAGUAAUUCUAGUGGAAAUACAAAUAAUUUGGCGGAAGCUACAAAGUCAGAGAACAUUUCCUUUUAUUGCAAAUGAUAAGAUACUUGAUUGAAAGUGAUUUGGUCUAUUCUCAGUUAAAUGAAGGGUAUUAUUAUAAUUUCACUGACAAACCAAACAGCUUUGUAACGCUUAUACGUCUAGGGGUGCUAUAUGUCAAUAUAUGCAUACAUUCUAUCUAAGUGUAGCAAGGCCAAACCUCAGGGGAGGUGUCCAAAAAUUAUCCUAGCCUGAUUACAAGUUCUUUCUGAGAUGACUAAGAUUUUGAACAGCUCUUUUUUGUAAUCUCUCUACCAUUGCCUUUGACAAUAUUUAUAAUAAGCCGAAAAUUCCUCUGAUGGCACUUGAAUUUGGUGUUGGUUGUGGCACAUUUGGGCUUAAGAGCCCUAGAAUUAACUCGAUAUACUGGAAACAACAUUAUAUCAGUUACAAAACCAGAGGGGUGAAAUUUGGUUAGAGUUUUCGUAAAUUUUAAACCGAAAAUUAGAAAUUCGUUAGAACUGUAAUGUCAGUAAAAAGCUGGCAUGAUCAUUGAUCUAUCUCGUCGUACUGAUAAUUUUGCCGGCUAAUUACUUGCAUAAAUAUAAAUUAUUAUUUAAUGAGAGAAAUAUUAUAGUCAAAAGAGUCGCACUAUUAAAUUCCAGCCCUAUUACUGUAAAAUAAUAAUUGUUGGUUAAAAAAAAAAACUAAAUUCUUGUUAAAAAUCAUCGCCAAAUUCUUGUUAAGAGUUUAAGACGCUUUUUUUUUAAUGAAUAUUUAUCACCAAAUUUUUUGAUUUAUUAUCUCGUUAUUGAUUAUAUGUCUUUGGUUCUAUUAAAAAAAAAAAGUCUUUGGUCGGGGGAAAAAAUGCCGGAAUCAAAAGCGCAACUGUAAUAAUAAUUAUAUGACAAGACCCCGGCAAAGAUGAAAAUACCCUUACUUACAAAAUCGAACUAUUUGAGCUUCAAAUCUAUUUUCUUUCUCUUAAUUAUUCUUUUAAAGAGCAAAGAAGUGGGUGAAUCACGCGUCAAUUUUUUAAGCCUUAUUUUCUUCUCAAGUUCUAUAUUACUGCAUCUAAACACACUAAAAAUCCGUACAACGCUGAAAAUCAUUUUCUUUUCAUUGCUAAGGAACAUAUAUUGGAUAAAUCUAACUCCAAUAAAGGUAAUAGUAUUUUCAAACUUAAACUUUGUGUUUCAUGCCAUUCUCCUCAACUGACUAAAUUAUUAAAUUGUUGCUAUAAUUUAUGGUUUAUGUGUAUAAUAUAGAAAUAUUGAGUUAUUACUGUGAAAAAGUCCAAAUUUAUUGCUACAAUUGAUGAAAAAAAAUUAUUGUUCGUAAAAAAUACCAGAUGAUUACUCAAAGCCACGUUAGGUAAUGGCCAAGUAAGAGUAAUGGUUGUGUAAAUACUUGAGGGUCAAGUAGGGGUUUAGUAGGGGUCAAGUAGGGUCGUGUUAAUAAUUAUUUAGAUUAGGUAAUUACGAAAAUAGAUGAUUUUAUACUUUUUAACAUUGUGUUUAUUACUUUGUUUUAGGACUACGUACUUCAUUCGUGUUGCUGCGAUUCAAUGGUGAAUGGAUCAAGAUAAAUGGUGAUUACAAGUUCAUUAUUCAGAGGCCAGGAGAACCGAGGUGCACCGUUCAAUCACUCAUGAACAAAUUAUUGUUGGUUAAUCCAUUGCGCAACUCAUUGUGUUGGACUUGUUUGAAUAUGAUAUUACCAUGAAGUUUAAAAUAUAUAGCUUCAAAUGCAGAUGUUGCUUUGUUUCCGGGAGAAAACCGCAGCUUAAAGACGCGAAUACCUCUUUGCGUGACAUAUUUACUAAGUUCAGUCCAUCAACACAGAUAUUUGAUAUGGGGAUAGAUGAUCGAUGCCAAUAAAAAAUAUAGAUGAUAGAAAAAUGAAUGGUGAUAGUUGGCAAGAUCAUCAUUUUAACCUAAGCUUUGUACUGGUAUCUUUAGCCACAUUUCAAUUUACCGAUACAAAACUGGCUACCAAACAUAUUUCCUUAUUUUUUGUUCUUAGAAAACGGAAAACAUUAACAUUACCAAAGAGGUCCGUAAAUAUCUGGACUUGCUUCCUUUAUUUCGGUUACUUUGUUAUUCUUUUUUAAUUUCACUUUAUUUUAAUUUCACUCGAAAAAAUAAGAAAUACGUAUAAGAUUUUUUUAAUAAUAUUUAUUAAUUAUAAAAGUGUGCUUGGAAAUGAGAGUUAUAUCUUUAAAUUAUGAUCUAAAGGAGUAAUGAGUAUUGCAAAAAUACUAGUAGGUAAUGUUAAUAAAUACAAAUUUCUCUAAGGAGAAAGUCGUAAUUUCAUUGUUUUGUGUUACAAUAAUUGGUGUUCUUCUAAAUUAGUAGGUGUCAUCCAAUUAAAAUGGUAGAAUUCUUAUGAAAAAAAUAAAAGGUCUAGAGUUUGAAACUUGUUCACAUUGGUGAGGAGAGAUUGAAUUGUCGUUAUGCUAAAUAACAAUAAGAAUAAAAAUGUGUUUUUCUAAACAAAACACAUCCACAAUAAAAACCACAAUAUUUAUUAAACAAAAGCAAAUAGGAACUUUUCCUUAUUCGGGAACGUAGGUAGAGAAAUACAUAAAUAGGAAAACCACAUUAAUUUGAAAUGUAAAUCCAAUAAAGAGACCAAGGACUCAAGGCUUUUUAAGAAACUCCAUAAUGUAAGUGUUAAAAGCAGAGCACACAACUUUGAAGCCUUGAAAUCCGGCGGCCUUAGCCAAGGUUUUGAAAUCUUGUUCGGUCAUCUCUCUCCCACCUGUAGUAGAAGCCAACAUGAUGCAGUCAAGUUGGAUCACAUGUUUGGAAGCAAGGCUUGUGUCUGGGAGUACUGGGAGAAUACAGUCAGCAACAAUCACUUUCCCAUCUUCUGGAAGUGCUUCGUAGCAAUUCUUCAAGAUCUUCACGCAGGCUUCUUCACUCCAAUUAUGACAUAUCCACUGUAAGUAACAGCACAAAAUGAAUUAAGAUUUUAAUCAAUAAAUUAAAACCCUGCUGGGAGGCCGAGAGUGGCAAAAACAAAUAACCUUCAUGAAAAUGGCAUCCCCUUUUGGAAUACUGACGAACAUGUCUCCCGCAACAUGCUCAAUACCUACGUCAAAUUCAACCAUGGAUUAAAAAAAUUGAUACAGGAUAUAGAAUAGGGAAAUUAUCACUUAUCCACUCAAGAUUUGAUCCGUGAUCGAAGCUAUUCAAAACCUUUUCAAAUUAUUCGACAGUCCACCCAAAGUUUUGCAAAGUGUAUCAAUUAAUUAAUUUUUCAGUUUGUCAGUAAUGCUGUUAGAAAUUUCUAGGGAAACUAAAUAAAAUGACCACUUUGUCCUUGAAGUGUCACCAAAAUUUAACAGUUAUUAACAGUUAGGUGGAUUGCUAAUAUACUUCACAAACCUUGGCCGACAGCUGAUAAUUUUAUAAGGUUAUAAAUAUUCGGGAGAUUGCUAAUUUUCCCUUACAGUAAUCAAUAUAUGCCAUUUAUUUUCCUGUUGUUUUUAUAAUAAUCAAUAAUUCCUCUAACAAUAUAAUUUUACAAUAUUACAUUUACUUUCAAAUACACUUUUAUUUAUAUUUAUUAUAAAUUAAAUAAAUAAUAUGAAUAUAAAUUAAAAUAAAAAAUUAAGUAUUAAAAAUAAGAAUAUACAUUUUGAUGUGACUAAAAAAUUGAAUGUGAUUGUAUUUUCCUUAUUUUUUAACAUGUCUAAAUCUUGGGAGGAAAAUUUUGCUAAUUUCCCUUUAAAAAAUAUAUUAGGGAAACAACAAUGAUCAAUAUACACACCCGGGUAAGCUGGAGCAUCCUGAAUUACAUGUGGUAAAUCGAAGUUAAUGCCUUUAAUUGAUGGAUACUUGGAGAUAAUCAUGUUAAGUGAGGCUCCAAUUCCACCACCAACGUCAACAACUGACUUGAGGCCUUCAAAGCCUUUGUAAUUUUCAAGAAAUUUCUUCAUGGUAAUGGUAGAAUGAGAAAACAUUCCAUUGUUGAAAAUCUUGUUGUAUCUUGGAUCUUUGCCAUGAUACUCGUAUGUAUUCAUCCCGUAGGCCAUGUUGAAUGGGAUGCCACCUUCAAGUACUGCGUCUUUUAAGUGGUACCUGCCCCAAACCACAUUAAUUUCCUGGGAAGCUAACAACAUUAAUCUGGAAAUGAAUAAUGCAUUAUCACUUAUCAAAAUUAUGUAAUCUAUUCUUAAUCAAGAUAGACAUAUAAAGCUUUGUCCAUCUCCCUAUUUUUUAAAAUAAAUUAAGAUAGACAUGUGAACCAGAGACUUGAUGAAGUGGUUUUCAAAUGGAUUAUUACGUGAAAAAAAAACCUUGAUAUUUAUAUGAAGUUUUGCGAAAAUUUGGUGGUUUGGAUUUUUUAUUUUUUAUAGAAAAAAAUUCAUGUGUAUUUUUUUUCGUAACAUUAAAGAAGAAUAAAAUUACAGGACGGACAAUUACCAGCUUUCCAUAACAAUCUUGUCUUGACUCACGAGACAAAGGUUAGAAAGUGAAACACCAUCUUCUUUUUGGGUAAGGAAUUUACAGACGGGUGCAAGGCCAUAAAGCCUCUCAACUCCGCCACCAGGGAGAGUGUGCAAAGAGCAGUUAAGAACUGAGAAGCUAGCCAAAAGACGCAAUAUGCGAUCGAGCAGGAUAUGGGCAUCUGGGUUCUUUGUGGGCAGCUGAGAAGCUAUUUGUUUUGGAGACAUGAAAGCACCUGGGCCAGCUUUAGCAAUGAGCUCUAAAAGAUCAAGCUCGAUAGCUGAUUUGAGAACCAUUGGCAAAACUGAGGCACUGGUUAGUUGCAUGGCAAAGAGUUUUGCUUCCUCGUCUGAGAUUUGAGUUGGAAUCAUCUGAGUUUCAGUACCCAUUUUGUUUUUGAGAGAGAGACGAGAGAACGAGUCUAGAGAAAAGGGCUAAUGGCACUGAUCAGUAGUAAGCUAGCUAAGUGGAGUUAUUUAUAUCACUAAGAGAAGGUUACUUUUAGUCUGUUUUUAUGUGCCCCUUUUAGCUUUGGCAAGUCAAAGAGAACGUGCCACUUCGGCCAAGGCCGAAGUGGUGGGCUGCUGCCGGCAGCGGUUCUAGCCCCCACAAAGGCAUUGUGGGGGCUAAAUGUUCUUUAUAUUUAAAAAUCAUUCUCCCUUGCGAAAUGCAAGUGGAAUAUGGACAUCCCUCUCCUGUGAGGGGUUAUUUAUCUGGGCAUGUACUUCAUAGAAUUCAAUGUAAUAAUGUAAGUCCCAAUCAUGUAUAUCUGAUUGUAAAUAUCAGUGUAAUAUCUCUGCUAUAAUAGCAGUUGUUGUAAAUAUCUGUGUAAUGCAGUAAUCUGAUGAUUAAUCAGUAUUCAAAAAAAAAAAAGUCAAAGAGAACGUCAUAUAAUUACAAAGAGGGGAAAUGCUUGAAAUCUGGAGUUUUUUUUUAUUACAUAAGACUAUUGUUCAAAUUACAACUCAUAUUACAUGAGAUUGUAACUGAUAUUUACAAAUCAUACUAUUACUGGGACCAACUUACAUCAAUACUAAUGAAGUACUGCCCAGAUUUUAACUCUCACAAAUAUUCGAGGGAUAUAUAUCUACUACUCACACUUGGGUAAGAGAAAAGACUGCAUUCACUUAAAUUUAAUUGAAGAAGGAAAUACCCCCACAAUGCAUUUGUGGGGGUUCGAACUGCUGCCCUCCAAGUUGGAGGGCAGCAGCCCUAACCACUCGACCCGAGUGGCUGCUUGAAAUCUGGAGUUAUUUAUGCAAAAGGAGCACUCAGAUUUAAACAUAGAAAAUAAAAUAUUAUUCGUGGAGAUUAUUAUCAUAGCAUACAACACGUACGACAGCACUUGCCAUACUAAAGUGCUAUCACUUCUGAUAUGAUAAUAUUUCUUUUGUAGUCAAAUAUUUUUUUUUAACAAAAUUAAGAGUUUUUUACUAGACCUGCAAAAACAGCAUGAAAUACUCUUCAAAGUUACAAAAAAAAAAAAAGGGGAAAAGAAGAAGUGAAUGAUUACAACAGCAUGUGGACUAGUUAGUCUUAUUAUGAAUUAUAUUUUUUAUAGGGUUGUGAUGCAGUUUAACUAUGAAGAUUUGAUUCAAUAAAUUUAUGCUAUUCAAAGUUGAUUUUUCAUGUUGGGAGUUCUUUUUAAUAUUUGUCCAAUAUUUAAUUAAUUUGAGCAGUCUAAUAAAUGUGUUUUUUUGCUUAUGCGAUGAAUGUCAUGAACUACGAUGUAGACGAAAAUGUGCCAUAAAUCCUGAUUCCCGAUCGAUUUAUUAUGCACUUAAUCUAUAACUACCAUGGUUCCUAAUGAAUUGCACUAUUUUAAAUUCACAAAGAGUGCCGAAGUAUCUUUAAUAAUGCUGGAGAAUGAUUAUAAAAACAAUUAGUAUUUUUAAUUGUCAACAUCUAUAGCGGUAAUUAAAAAACUUUAGUUGCAUAAACAUAUAUAGGAAUUAAAUUGGAAUACUUAUACUAAAAUCAGAUGUACAAACUGAUUUUGCUUUAAAACUUUUCUCAUUCAAUCUUCUUUAAUCGACUUUUCAAAAAAAAAAAAAAUUAUUUUAUCUAUUAGUUCGUAAAAAUCUAGGAUUAAUUAAUUUUGAUAAUUAAUAAAUUAAACAAUCCACAUGAAAACGAUAAUUUUCUCAUCACGUUAUGAAUGUAUUGUAUGUAUGUAUAUGCAAAAUUCAAUAAAAUAAUUCUUCGAUACAUUCUUUAUUAAUGAGAAAUGACGCUUCUAAUCUUCUUUAUGAAAUUUGUUUUAAAAAAGAGUAUAUUGAAAGCAGCCAGGGAGGCUAGGCGCUGGUUAAUUUGAGUCCAAUGAUUUUCAAAGAUUGACUGUUCAAGUUUACUAAAUUGAAUUGAAUUGAAUUGAAUUGAAUUGAAUUGAACUGUGAAGUGUACUUAAUUGGAAAAGUACUUGUAUAUGGUUUGGAUUAAAUUUCUCAUGAAAUCACGAGGACAUGUCAAUUUCCUACUCGAUGAAAAUUACUCCUGCCAUUGAUGACCAAGAAACUGCGUAAACAAAUAUAACUCGUGUACUAGAAUCAAAAUUAUUGGCCAUUCAAAUAUGCUAGCCAAUUUGUUAAUAACUUUCCCACACCAACCAGGGCUAUCUUAUUGUCGAAAAUCAGCAAAUAAGGAUUAAAUUCAGUACAAUACUUUUGACAUUUAUUCUCAAUUUUCUCUAGAGAUUCUCUUCAUGCAUUAUAAUUAGGGAUGGCAAUGGGGAGGGGAGGGGAGGGGAGGGGACCAAUCUCCCCGUACUCAUCCCCGAUAUUUUACGUAUGUCCCCAUCCCCUUCCCGUCCCGUAAGAAUUGCUUGAGAGAAUCCUCAUUCUCUCCCAAAAUAAUAACAGGGGAUCCCCGAGAGUUCUCGAUCACCAAAUAACUAAUACAUUUUUUUUUUCGAUUUUGAGUUAAUUAUAUUAAAAUAAAAUUCAAGUAAAAGUAAAGUUCGAAAUAUAUCUUACAUUAACAUUGAUCCAUUACAAAAGUCACAUGCAAAAUAUAAAUUAUCAAAAUAAUUAUCUUUGUCAAUCUUUAUAAUCCUACAAUAAAAAGAAAAAGAAUUUACUUUUAUAUCGACAAUAAAAUAAAUGAAAUAAAUGUAGAUACUUAAUUAAUAUUUUUAAUAAAACAAAAUUAAAAUUAAAACAAAAUUUUUGGGUUAAUAGAAUCUACUCGGCCUUUUUAAUGUCUUAAAUAAAAAUUUAAGACUUUAAUUAGUUAAUUAGACCUAAAAAUUUAAUAAUAUAAAUAUUUUGAUAUUUGUUAUUUUUACCAAUAUUUAUAAUUUUAUAAUAUAAUACAAUUUUUAUUAUUUAUUUACUAGUAAUUUUAAAAAUUAAAAUUAAAAUUAAAAAUUAAAAUGGGGGAAAUGGGAGGGGAUGGGGAUUCCACCUCAUCCCCGUCCCUUUCCCGAAUAAGAAACUAGGUAAAAAAAUUUCUCCGUUCCUUCCCCGAAUAAAAAAUCGGGUAUAAAAUUAUUCUCGUACCCUCCCCGAAUGAGAAAAUCCCUGAGAGUACCCGUCCCCAUGGGAAUUUUUGCCGUCUCUAAUUAUAAUAUUCUUUUUCAUUUUGCGCGCAUUCUUUUCCUGCGUUAGAAAAAUUCUUCUCCCGGUGGCGGUGGACUUUUCAGCCUUUUCCUGCGUCAGAAAAAUUCUUCUCCCGAUGGCGGUGGACUUUUCAUUCUUGUCCUGCGUCAGACAAAUUCUUCUCCCGGUGGCGAUGGACUUUUCAUCUCUCUCUAAAUAAAUUUACAAAUGAAUUUGUUAUCUUUGAGUUUAAAUAAAAUUUUGAUUUGAACUUUUUGUCUUGUGUGGUACAAAUGACAAAUGACUGGGUGUGGAAAUGGUAAUCAGAGUAGUAUCUCCAUAAAAUGUAAAUGUUAACUAAGUAAUAAUUUUUAUAAAAAUUACCUGAUCAAAUGUGUUCGAUAAUAUUACUUGUGAAGUAUAAAAGAAAAAGAUCCUAUGACACAGUUCCUAUGAUUAAGCAAUUAGCAAGACAUUGAGGCAAGAAUAAGAAUAAUAGUUAAAAGGAGUGAUUCAGUUAACGUCAAAUUACGGAACGCAAACGUGAACUUUAAAAAAAUAAAUGAAUAUAAGUUCUAGAAAGAAUGAAAUAUUAUUGAUAAAAGUCUGAAUGACAAAGUUAGGAUUUUAAAGUCUUUUUGUACUGACCUUAAAUAUUACAAAUUUAUCAAAACAAACAAACUUGAAAAAAUCUUAUAUAAUAAAAUUCUCCUAAUUGAAAUAAGAAAAAUAAAACAAACGGCAUUUAAAUGCUAAAAGCAAUAGGAAUUAAACUUACAAAACGACAACAAAAGAAAGGGAAUUUCCAGCUGAAACAUAGAGCAAAUAUUGGCAUAGCUAGGUUAGAUUCAUCUUAUUGUAGAUUUCGAAAUGAUAUAUUAUACGGCCCAAACAAACAUUUGUAGGUCAAGUUGUGAGAAAAGUAUCAUACACAUUCUACAUAACUAUCAUACAUCAGUCCCCUUCACUUCAAAGAGAACUUGUCCUCGAGUUAUUCCAAUAAAACUCGUUGUCAUUUAGAUGAUACUCAAAUAGAUCAAACACGUUGAAUGUAUUGGAUUUUUUCCAAUUGCUCUAUAAAUGUAACCUUAAUUUUAAUCAUAAGAAUCAAUAAGUUUUGCAUAUCAUUACAUACAUUUGCUUUGAACUAUGAAAAAAAUAAUAUUAUUUUUAUGUAUGCUUUUCAUAUGAAAACUAAUUUCAAAUUCUAAUUUCAUAACCAAAACUUUUAACAUUUCAACCUAUAUAUAUAUAUUGUCAUGAUGUUUAUGUUGAAAACACAUUGUAGGUUUGGUAAUAUUUUAAACAUAUUUCCUCGAUUAUUUCAUUAUGUUGUUAAAUCAGAUCUUUUUAAUUUGUAUUUUCAUAAAUUUGUAUUUUAUUCUUGUUCAUAGAGCAACGAAAAUGAGAACUGCAGUCCUUGUUUGCCAUAAACUUACAUGUUGUUCUUGUCCGUAGAGAAGAGAAAAAUAAAACUUCAUUCUUGUUUGAAGAAUAUUAGUUAGUUUAAGAAUUAAUGAAUUAUGUUAUGUUAUGCCCUUGUGGUUAAAGCAAACUCAUUACCCACAAGAAAUUAAUUAAUUAACAAUUAAGAUGGAAACUGAUAUUAUAUAUAUUUUACUUCCUUUAUUUUUUAUCAAUUGUACAUAUGCAGAAGAAAAGUAAGACACGUUUAAGUAUUUAUUAAACGCAAUACAUGCCUAAUCAAUUUAUUAAACUCACUCUAAAAAAAUAAAAGGUGAUGAAAAUUUUUAUUUAUUUUGCUCUUUAAAUAAUAAGAUAACACUUUUAUAAUAAAAUUUAUUAAACACGUGUAUUUUACUUUUCAAACGUACAACUAUCACAAUAACAUAAUUUACCAAAUGCCUAACUAUAUUUUCACUUAGCAACCUAUUUUAUCAGCAAAAUAAAAGUAACUAAUUUCAUCAACCAUUACAAUCCCAAACUGGCCUUUUAGGCAUGUAUAUGGGAGAAAGUAUUUGACUAUGCUAUUGAAUUUGUUACUUUGAAAUUUAUUUCGAUUUUCUGUGAUGCUAGUUCAUUGAUGCUAGUGAUUUUGUGUUGAAGUGAAUUUAUGUCCACAAAAAUACAUGUUGGGAAAGGGACUACCACAAGCAAUUGUAAAUUAAGCGGAAAUAAAAUUUUUUUCUCUUUGUGUGAUUAAAAUAGGAUGUGCACCAUAAAUGAAUAGGCAAAAUAAACCAAUAAAUUCAAAGCAAAAACCAACCACAAGAGACAUAUAUUUUUACGUGGAAAACCCAAAGCGGGAAAAACCUCAGACCGUAGUCCGAUAUAAUCUUCCACUAUAUUAAUGGGAUUACAGCACAAAUGAAAUGACCCGCCCCGAAUUCCCAGGACGAGUCUAUCUAAUCUCGUCUAAUCGAAUUAAUAAUAAUUCUGAUAUCUAAGAAUUUUAUCAAAAAAUCGACAGAGUCUCCCAUAUAAAUAUAACAUUCCCAAACCUGCAAUUUACAAAACAAUACUCCCAAAAAUAAUUCAAUAACCAACCAUCCUUCAUAACCAACUUCUCAAGUCAACAUACCAAAUAUCACCCAAAUCAUUCUAAUAUUAAAAUACAAUGGUUAUCCUUAAUUACAAAAUAUAACAAUAAAUACAAUUCGCAAUAUCCCAAAUAUCAAAAUAUUAAAUCUACGGUUCCUAGCACCAUCACGUGGCACAAUUUCAAAUCUAACUAUCGUUGUUGGGUCGACUGAUGUAUCUGUAAAUCUCCUGUGGAGGGGGGGGGAAUAUAAUAAAACCGAGGUGAGUAUAAAACUCAGUGAGUGGAUAAUAGUUUUUGAAAAAUAAAUUUACUUAAAAAUAAUUUAAUUCUUCUCUAAACAAUCUCAUCAAAAUUUCAUAAGACUUUAAAGAAACUUAUUUAAUUUAAAUCAUACACUUGAAUAACAAUAUUUUAUAAAUUUGCAUAAAAUCAAUGAAAUCAUAAUACUUAUAAUAUCAAAUACUGAAUACCAAAAAUUAUCAUCAAACAAGUACCCAGGGGAAUAAUCUCAUCAUAUCUGGACCUCGACGGACAGGCAAUCAGGGAACCAUCAUGCCCCGGAGCUACAACGGAUAGACGAGGAAAUGUCAUCUCAUAUCUCAUGUAUCUCAGCAUAUGUAUCUUUGUAAUCAUCAUACUGUAUGCAUAAGCCCCCAAAAGGCAAAAGCGCCCAAACACACAACCCAAAGCCUCUAUGUGUGUUCAGAUGGGCCCCAAAGGCCUUUAUCUCAUCUCAUCUGUAUCUCUGUAUUCAUCUCAUAUUAUCUGUAUCUCUGUAUCUGGGGGAGAAGGGUACUGUCCAAUAAUUUUCCAAACAACAUUUUAUACACAUGUACAUCAACAUAUAAUCACAUCUGAAAUCUCAUUUUUUUUUUAUUCAACAUAUCUCAAAAUACACUCAAUUCUAAUAUCAUGCAUUUACUCAAAAAUGAUAAUAAAAUCAUUAAUCAAACUCAUUCUUAAUAACAAUAAAUAUCAACACAGAUAAAAAUCAAUUUUCUAGAAAAUCAUUUAAUCGAACAUCGAAAACAUGUUGUACUGUAUGGUAAAAUCAGAAUAUACUAUGAAAAUAUGUUUUGUAUAUUCCACUUAUAGUAACAAAGUCCAGACUCGGUAUCAAUAACGUCCGCGGGUUGAUUCUCGUUCGCGGAUCCUCCUAAUCAAGGAAACAGCAUAAUCAUUCUCCGUAAAUUUGAAAUACAACUAAUUUUACAUAAUAAUUCUCGAAACGAAUAUCUAUCCACAAUAAACUAUUCCCGCAUGCACAAAAUUACCAAAAUACCCCCAACAUCAUUAUUUUACCAAAUUAUCCUCAGAAUCUUCAAUUACUAAAUUGUCCUCAAUUCAGAUCACGAAAAUAACUACAAUGUCAGAAAUUACGAAAUUACCCUUGAAGCGUAAAAUUACCAAAAUGCCCUUAACGACUUAAAUUACUGAAUUAUCCUCGAAAUCUCAAAUUACCUCACUGCCCUAACCAAAGAUUACCAAAUUAUCCACUGAUUUCACAAAUUACAAAUUCACCCUAAAGUUUUAUGAAAUUACCGAAUUGCCCCUGCCGGUCAACGGUGACCGGACUUCAGUCAACAUUGACGGGAAGCUUAGGUCUGAUAGUUCAGACCUCGGUGAGUCCAACGGUGCCGACGGUGACCUACCACGCGCGGCGAUGGCGGUGGAUCGUGCUCCCAAAGCCGUUUGCUUUCCGGCGGUCGUUCACGGCCAAAACGGAGGUUUCAGGUGCCGGGGUUAGUCGGAAAUGAAAGCUGGUGACGUCGGGAGUCGAACCCAACCGGUGGUGCAACCUAAUUCCGGCUAGAUUGACGGUGAAGAAAAAGGGUUGUGCCGCGGCUUUCAAGCUUAGAUCGCCGGCAUUCUGGCUGAUUUCCGGUGACUAUGACAGCGGGGAUAUGACCGGCGUCGCUCAAGCUUCAGAUCGGUACCAAGAUCGGCCGGUGAGGUGGCCGGAAUCGGCGGUUGGAGCCGGGUGAAGGACGCGGGUCGGAUGUGGGCUGAACCGGUCAAUUACUCUCUCUCUCCUUCUCUCUCACGUGUAAUUAAAUUAAAUUAAAAACACACAAUGCAAUUAAAUUAAAAACACACAAUGUAAUUGCACAACCAUUUUACACGUACACAAUUCAAUUCAACAACCCAAUAUAAAAAAUAAAAAAACUCAUAUCUUAUACAAAUAAAAACACAAUACAAUUAAAUUAAAAACACACAAUAUGUGAUGUUAUGAGAAUGUAUUGUGUGCGUGUGUUAACUUGUAUUAAUUUUUUUUUUUUAAAUAAGGUUGGGUCGGCAUUAAACCCGACUUUGAUCCAAAAUUUAUUCAAACCUUAAAAUUUUAGCCCUAACCCAAUCCUAAACUUAAAAAUUCGGGUCAAAAUCUUCCUAUCACCCAAUUAAAGAUUGAAUUUAUUAUUCCCUUCUACUGACUUUUUUCUCUCUCUCUUGCGGCUUUUCUUCCACCAAAAGUUACUGCCGCUAUUUUUCACACACAAUUCCAUUAGGGCAGCGCUGCCUUUGAUAGCCAAAUUACAUGGCAAAUUUCAUCCAAAUCCAAAGCUUUGAAAUAAUUACAAACCAAACAAAUUUAUUUGGACUUUGAGUUUUUGGGCCCCCAAAUGAGAUGGACCCAACAAUACAAUUGAGAUUUGUUAAGUUUUGCAAAAUCCAUUAUUAGCAAUCUACUGUUCAUAUUUGUUUAUAAUUAUUGUAAAUAUAAAAUAAGUCAGUGAUAUCAACAAAAGCUUUUAGUGAUUUUAAAACUUGAAGAGAAACAAAACCAAGAAAAUUGCUAAACAACCUGCUUACUUGCUUGUUGUAUAAUUGAUCAAAAUAUAAAUAAGAGAAAACCGUUUCUUGAUCAAAGAAGCAUGUGCAAAGAUAGUUCUAAUUAUAUGAAAAUAACCAUACGAUGCCAUUGUUGCAGUUCAUACUUGUUUGGGUUGGACUAUUCUAGUAGUGUUUCAAAAUAUAGUCGAUCCUAAUAUACUCAGAACUUAUGUUGUUGAGCUGACCUCAUAAGUACAACCUGGAGUCUAUGUUGGCGACCUGAUUUACAAGUACGGCCUAAGAUCUAUGUGAAUGACCUAGUUUAAGAAUACAACCUCAACGCUUUAUGAGCGACUGAGAAAUUCAUAUGUUUGAUAUGAAAGUGAAGUAAUUCAACCUUAAAAUUCUCUUGUCCGACCUGAGAAUUAGUUUGACAUAGAAAAUUGCUAGUUAAGAGAACGUGGCCUAAUUUAUAGGGAAGUUGUGUGCCACGAUCUAUUUAAACCACCUCCAACUGACAACCAUUUGCAACUGCUGAAGAAAGCGGGCUGAAGUUAAGGAGGUAACCGUACACGACCAAGAGUCUAUUUAAACUGAAGAGUGCAUCAGGUGAGAGGGUGAGCAAAAUCAACCAAAGCUUCUACAAGAUGUUCAGCCCCUCUACCGGAAAAUUACUUGACUUUAAUUCAUUCAUAAUUCUUCAUUCUCAUUUUUCUCCUUUUAUACAUAAUUUCUGACUUAAGCAUCGGAGGGUCUACGCCGGAACCCCACCGGCGUGUCCUAACCGUGUUUUCUGGUUGGCAUAUAUAGAAAGUUGCAAUCAGACUUGCGUUUGAGCUUGGAUUCACACUGUAAUUCCUGAAAAGAAACAAAUUCAGCUGUUGAGCUCGUUUUUUCGGCAUCAACAAUACCUUUGGGUGUAUUGAUACGCUAGGAUGGGGGAGCCAAUUUCGGUAGUCUUUUGUAAAAUUUCAAUAAUAAUGUUAAAAAAAUCUAACUGAACCCUUAUAUCAUUAUAUAUCAUCAUAUUUUAUUAUAGAUCAACAUAAAAUUUUGCAGGUACACGAAAUCUGUAGAAAGAGAAUGUGAGCUAUAUUAUUUCUUAUGGAGUUUCUAUUUUCAAUUAGUUCUUCCUUGGAGCACCAACUCUUAUUUUUUAGAUACUUUUAAAAAUUUGAAAGUUGUCCCGAUCCCCAUUCCGUUGAAUAAUAAAAGAAAACAAUUUCUUUUUUUAUAUUUAUAUAAAACAAGCUUUUUAAAAAUUGGAUUUCGAGUUUUACAAAAUAAGUUGUCAGUUAUAAGUUCUGUAUAAAUAAUACAAUAUGAAUACAACUAUAAUUUUCAUCCACACUAAAAUGAGAAAAAAAAAGAAAGUCAAGACAAAAUUGAGAGUGUAGAUUGUCAUUUAAAGAGCACAGGAAGUUGAAGGUAAUUGAAAUUGAAAAUGAUUCUCAUUGGAUGAGCAAGAGAUUUAAAUUAAAUUUCUGAAAAGUUUGCGUUGUAAACGAAUUUUGAUCACACGGGGUUUCGAGAAUAAGAAUGGAGGAUUAGUCAUGAAAUAAAAGUGGUGUUGUUAGAAAUAGUGAUAUCUUUAAAUAUUUUUAAUGGUAUAUUUUAGGAAAAAAAAGGUUUUACAAGGAGUUUUUAAGGGUGUCAAUAAUCCAACUUUAUUUUAAUAAAUUUAAUGGAAGUUAAAUUAACUAAUAAUUGUGAAUUUUCAAUUAUGAAUAGUGUAUUGUUCCUGCUUGUUGUGAAUUGUCAAUUAUGAAUAGCGUAUAGGCUGAGAGCAUUUGCGAAGCAGGAGUUCUCUCUACCUCUUUCAAAACAGAUAGUUCACUUUUCUUCACCAAAAGCAUAUCCAACUUGUUGUUCUAAUCAGUUGUAAAUGCAUUCUUACGUUAAUAAUAAUUCAUUGUAUUGCACUGGCAAAGCUUCCUUGAGGACAGUGCUCUAAAAUCUUAGCACACGCCUUCGCGCUUUGGGGAGAUCUUGGGUUCAUCUUCUGCACAUGAUGGGGAGAGGGGAUUUGAUCUCAACAGUACUCGGAUCAUAACGGAGGAAGAGAAGAUUCAAGGGUUACUAAUUCUCUGUUUUGUCGCUAGUUUUGCAACUUUUUUUUCACUGCUCCUUGAGUAAUCCGAGUGUCCUCUGCACAGUUUGGGUACUCCAGAUCAACAGCAAACAAUAAUAACAUAAAAGCGAGUAAAGAGAAUAACACAGGAGAUUUACGUGGUUUGGCUUCGUUAGGCCUACAUCCGCUAGGAUAAACACACUCGUGCCGAGUUUAUUGAUCACUAAGGAUUUUACAAUGGAAAUACACUCAUUCUUAGAAGUUAUUGAGCUUACAAUUUCUCCCUCCCCGAAAACUAUUAUGUGUUUCCUAAACCCAACCACUAUGGUUCGCAGUUGCACCUUGGCUUGUCCCCUUGGUUCCUGGCCGUACCUUGGCCUUCCUCCUGGCUGCCCUUUUGGCUUGCUUCCUUGGCUGCCCCUUUGGUUGCCUCCCUUCGGCCUGCCUGUUUCGCCUCUUACUGAAUUUUGUUGGCUUUUGUAGAGUAAUUCCCUCAAAUGAUUUAAGUACCUAAAUAGCUACCAUAGCGGUUAUCUAUCAUCAUGGUUAGUUAUCCAACCAUUAAGUGCUAUACAUAGUUAUUUAAUCAUCAUAGGUCGUUACAUCCACGUCACAGAGCUUAAAUAUGGUGCCACGUAAAUUAAAACUCCAACACCAAAUAUCUGGUAUUGAACAAGCUUUUUUAAUAUCUGGUGUUGAACAACUUAAUUCAAAAUAUACAACUGAAUUUUGAUGUUGAAUUCUGUUUCGCAAGCUAGUUUUGUCUCUUUCAACUCUAAUUCUCAAGUCGGGUUUUAUUAAGAAUAUUAUAAUUGGUUGCGUUGCCUUGUACCUUUUAUUUUAGUUGAAGUUUGAUUCUUGCAUUCUGCAUUUCCUACUUUGGUAUGCUACGGCAUUUGGUUUUCCCAAAUCUAUUAUCUAGAUGUUUCUCUACACUAUUUGUUUUCACUCUUAUCUUAUUUGCUGAUAUGUCUGCUUUCAGAAUGGAAUGCAUUCUCUUUCUCCAGCUGUGUGGUCCAAGCAUAGAAGAUGGCUCUUAAUGUCCAUGCUUUGUCUGAAUCCUUAGCUUGUGUAAGUUCGAAGCCUCUCUAUGGUUAAAAACACAUGGUGAUUGAUUUUUGUGCCAUUUAUUGACUGAUAUUCAGGUUUUGCCACUAAUAGUUGAUAGUCUUUUCCUUAAUUGAUAGUUGAUGGGAAUUUCUGACAAUGUUGAUAACUGUUUAUCUUGCCUUUCUAUAGUUGUUCUAACCUACAUUAAUAAGAACCAGAUACCAGACGAUCAGCAUGAUAGAAAUUCCCCCCCCCCCACCUCUCUCCCAUUUUAUCCUAGUUUUCUUUGAUGCUGGAGUAUAUUUUAUCCCUCUCUCUUUAUAUAUGUAUAGAUAUAUACUUCACUUUGUUUGUUUCAUUGGCACUUCCUUCUAUGUCAUAGUACUUGCACGAUACUGUCAUUAGUUAAUCAUUAUACAUCUAAUUUAUUUAAGUUUUGAGCUUCUGAGGUGCCUUGAAAGGCUUAUUGAAUAGUGAGAACUGAAAGGAGUCAAAUGAAUAAUGCCUGUUAUUUUUCUGAUACCAUGCCGAACUGAAAACUCUUAACGUUGGCCACCUCCUAAAAAAAUGUAAGAAAAUAUGUCGUAAUGGAAAUCAUUUAUUCUUUAAGCACUCCACUUGGGAUUUGUUAGCGUUUGGGGUACCAUAAAAUUGGAUAUGUAGUUGGAAUUUGAAUAGAAAUCUUUCUCGAGUAUUCAAGGUGUUUGAAUUCUCUGAAGAGGGUGAUUGAAAUGUUUGAUCGAAGUAGUGUAGCAUAGAAUACAAUUAUAAGUAGUCUGUAUAUUUAAGUAAUCUAAUUGAAGGAAACUACAUGAAAGCACGCCAUAUUCCUUUGGAACUAGAACUUAUUUCUGCCUAUUAAGGUGAAGUUUCUAACUGAGCCUUCUCCUUCACUUCUCCCUCACUCUGUUCGCAGUCAUUUGUGGAUCUGCAGUGUCCUAAUGGGCAGUUUAUUUAUGUAUCUGGGGAGGGUCUAAAUGCUAGCGCUUUCCUACCUCUUUGUGGGGGCCUUCUUCAGGCUCAGGGCCAAUAUCCAGGGGAAAUGAGGUUCAGCUUCUCAUGCAAGGUUAGAUUGUAAAGUGGGAAUGGAUGGUAGCAAAAACAAAUGGAGUGGAUUAGGUUUCAUAAGCUUUUGAAAGCGAUUUUAUGUUUAUAAAUUUCAAAUUUGUCUUGGUGGCCUUGAUUUAUGGGAACUAAACUCUUUACUGUCUAAAAUUUCAACAGAAUAAGUGGGGAACACGUAUCACCCCAAUGGUACAAUGGCCUGACAAAUCGUUUACAUUGGGUCUUUCACAAGCUUUGGCUUGGCAGAGAUCUGGUCUCAUGGUGAGGCCGACCAUUCAAUUCAGGUAGGAUUUAUAUGCGUAACUUGUGAAAAUCUUUAUUCUUUUAUUAUUUUGUUAUCAUCAUUGAUGUUUGUAGUAAUUAGCAGACCUGUCCUUGUGUCCUUGGCGCUUUGCUUCGUGAGUUACUCAUUAGCACAGAGGAGUUCAAAAGCACAUCUUUAUUGUCAAAUGUCAUUUGAAAUGUUUCUAUUCGAGGCAUACUUUUUCCCUGCUUUUGUUUUAUUAAUUACAUUGUAUUGCCUUGCCUGCUACUGUACGGAGAAAUGGCAUUUUUGUCUCAAGUUAGUGACAUACACCCACACGUGACAGUAAUCAAAAUCUAUUAACCUGGCAAAUUUAGGAAAAUGGGG
rnacentral:lncRNA from 1 species